GCUCAGUAACACGUGGGUAACCUAACCUAUGCAGGGGAAUAACCUCGGGAAACUGAGUAUAAUGCCCCAUAGUCCACUACGCCUGGAACGGUGAGUGGAUCAAAGCUCAGGCGGCAUAGGAUGGGCCUGCGGCGUAUCAGGUUGUAGGGGGUGUAAAGUACCCUCUAGCCAUCUACGCGUACGGGUGUUGGGAGACAUAGCCCGGAGAUGGAUUCUGAGACACGAAUCCAGACCCUACGGGGUGCAGCAGGCGCGAAAACUUGACAAUGCGAGCAAUCGUGAUCAGGGAACUCCAAGUGGCUGGGGUAAGACCCAGUCUUUUCAUAACUCUUCAAAGGUUGUAGAAUAAGGGGUGGGUAAGGACGGUGCCAGCCGCCGCGGUAAUACCGGCGCCUCAAGUGGUAGUCGCUUUUAUUGGGCCUAAAACGUCCGUAGCCGGUUUGGUACAUUCGUGGGUAAAUCAACUCGCUCAACGAGUUGAAUUCUGCGAGGACGGCCAGACUUGGGACCGGGAGAGGUGUGGGGUACUCUCAGGGUAGGGGUAAAAUCCUGUCAUCCUUAGAGGACCACCAGUUGCGAAGGCGCCACACUGGAACGGAUUCGACGGUCAGGGACGAAGCCUAGGGGCACGAACCGGAUUAGAUACCCGGGUAGUCCUAGGUGUAAACGCUGUGAACUUGGUGUCGGGGAUCCGUCAUGGGUCCCCGGUGCCGGAGUGAAGAUGUUAAGUUCACUGCCUGGGGAGUACGGUCGCAAGGCUGAAACUCAAAGGAAUUGA
rnacentral:rRNA from 1 species